CAAUCUGCCCUAAAGACUGGGAUAACACUUGGAAACAGGUGCUAAUACCGGAUAACAACAUGAAUCGCAUGAUUCAAGUUUGAAAGGCGGCGCAAGCUGUCACUUUAGGAUGAGCCCGCGGCGCAUUAGCUAGUUGGUGGGGCAAAGGCCUACCAAGGCAAUGAUGCGUAGCCGAGUUGAGAGACUGAUCGGCCACAUUGGGACUGAGACACGGCCCAAACUCCUACGGGAGGCAGCAGAC
rnacentral:rRNA from 1 species